AUCCUCCAGGAGAACCAAGAGUGUUAUCGAAGAGGCUAACACACUAGACGGUUCCAAAGGGCGUGGGAGGAAAGGCUUCGUCGGCUGGCCUCAAGUGUUGCGUUAGACGCUGACAGAGUGAGGGCCCAGCCGUUCUGGAGGCUUGAUGAUUUAGCAGACAGGGCAUCGAGGGGGCAGCAAGGCAUCAGGCCAGCCCAGAAUCAAGGGGAGGAGCAACAGACUCUAUCUCUUGGUGAGAGGAGCAGGCCAUGCACACAGGGAUGAGAAGGGUCGUUGGUGGCCAUCUUGGGAAACAAAAGGUCUACAUACAGAACUGCUGCUGUGCUAUAAGGAAGUCGAAGCCAUCUUGCUGGAGAGAGAGAUCGUAUGAAGAAAACCACACAUGAAGAGAGAGGUAAGCCACUGGAGGAGCACUGAGCCAUUGCACAGACUAUCCCCAGGGUGCCCGCUCCUCUGCCUUCUGACCUGUUCUGAGAGUGAGCUGAGCAUGUUCCCACAGCCAGAGGAAGCCUUUGGGUGGAGAGUCUCCAGGGCUUGAGGCAGAGGCCCUUGUUCUACACUGGAUUUUUCAAUGAUGUCUACAGAGUUCUUAGUGUAGUCGCAGCAGGAUUGCAGAGAAACCCAACAGAGACAACCUGGAAUCUACACUGAACCAGCAGUCAUACCUAUAGGGGCCCACUGAACACACCCCCGGAUCACUGCAUUCUUUAGGUGACCCCGGAUAAUUUUCCUGGACUUUUAGCCUGCUUUUGAUGAAGAGAUUAUAGAAGAUUUUCUUUACUUUUGAAGAGCUCCUGGAAGAUGAAGACCUUGAGGUUCAUGGACUCACCUGGAGAAUUUAUCAGAAGAGGCAUCAAAUAAAAGACUCUCUGCAGCCCUGUUGGAAAGGACCAUACCAAGUACUUUUAACCAAUUCAUGCACUACAGAAUCAAAAGGCAUUCACAUUUUUCAUUUAAAAAAGGCUUCUCCACCUGAGUGGGUUUCAGUUCCUAUUUUUGAUACCUGACUUGAACUGAUCAAUGCAAAUAUCUCCAAAACAGGAUGAGAAGAAGACGGCAUCUGUUGUAGACAGCCGUCCCAAGACUCCAGACCAGGACCUGGGAACUGUCUCUUAAAAAUGUCACCUUGAGGAAGCUGAUGCCCGACCUGCCAGCUCCUGUGGGAGAAUAGGAGCCUCCGAGCUGCAGAACUGCCUCCUGCCAUAAAGAGACGAGAAGCUUAUGUUUCCUUUGGACAAAGGCAAUCAGUUAACACAGAUGGCCACCCCAGCUGCCAAGUGAAUUUAAGAUGAGCUAUGCGUGACAAAUGGUGCUGUCAAGUCUUUUUACUUGAGGACUAGUUAUUGUUUAUCUUGAGAACACCUAUGUAAUGGGUUGUAUCUGCUUGGCUCUGUAAAAGGGUAAGAUUCCUUUCUAUCUUUGCGAUCUCUUAGUGAAUUGCCUGAGAUGCACAUCACAAUCUGGUUUAAUACUUAUUCAAUAAUAAAAUUGUUUGCUUUCUCUUCUA